rnacentral:rRNA from 1 species
CAAGGAAUUUUCGGCAAUGGGCGCAAGCCUGACCGAGCAACGCCGCGUGGUGGACGACGGCCUUCGGGUUGUAAACACCUUUUGGGUGGGACGAUUGUGACGGUACCACCCGAAUAAGCCCCGGCUAACUCCGUGCCAGCAGCCGCGGUAAGACGGAGGGGGCAAGCGUUGUCCGGACUCACUGGGCGUAAAGGGUGCGCAGGCGGUUUGGAGCGUUCGCGCUGAAAUCACGGGGCUUAACUCCGUGGCGCGUGCGAAUACGGCCAAACUGGAGGUAGAAAGAGGAUGGGGGAACUCCUGGUGUAGUGGUGAAAUGCGUAGAGAUCAGGAAGAACACCCGUGGCGUAAGCGCCCAUCUGGCUCUGACCUGACGCUGAGGCACGAAAGCGUGGGGAGCGAACCGGAUUAGAUACCCGGGUAGUCCACGCCGUAAACGAUGUCGACUCGGUGUGUGGUGGCCGUUAAGGCCGCUGCGUGCCUUAGCUCACGCGGGAAGUCGACCGCCUGGGGACUACGAGCGCAGG